rnacentral:tRNA from 1 species
GUGGCAACACGUGGUUGAAUGGUUACGAUGUCCACUUUGUAAGCGGAUGAUCAUGGGUUCAUUUCCCAUCUGCUACA